GACGAACGCUGGCGGCGUGCCUAACACAUGCAAGUCGAACGGGGUCCAAGGGAGCUUGCUCCCUGACGACCUAGUGGCGAACGGGUGAGUAACACGUGAGGAACCUGCCCUGGAGUGGGGAAUAACCCGAGGAAACUCGAGCUAAUACCGCAUACCUUCCGAUGAUCGCAUGAUCGACGGAAGAAAGAUUCAUCGCUUCAGGAGGGCCUCGCGGCCUAUCAGCUAGUUGGCGGGGUAACGGCCCACCAAGGCAACGACGGGUAGCUGGUUUGAGAGAACGAUCAGCCACACUGGAACUGAGACACGGUCCAGACUCCUACGGGAGGCAGCAGUGGGGAAUCUUGCGCAAUGGGCGAAAGCCUGACGCAGCAACGCCGCGUGCGGGAUGAAGGCCUUCGUGGUUGUAAACCGCUUUCAGCAGGGACGAAAAUGACGGUACCUGCAGAAGAAGCCCCGGCUAACUACGUG
rnacentral:rRNA from 1 species